rnacentral:lncRNA from 1 species
AGAUGAUAUUAGAGCGAGAAAAUAUUUUUCAGUAUUUGAGGGAAGAAAGAAAAAGACUCUUGAAUCUUAAGAAUUGUUGAGUGUUUGAAAGAGAAGUUAAAGAAACAAUCCGUUCUUCUUCACUGUUAACAAUUAGCAUCAACUGCUAUUGUUCAUUAAAGCUUCAAGCUUCUUUGUCUUGAUUGAUAAAAAUCAGAAAUUAUUUUUUGGCAACUGGAUACUUCUUUAUUAGUCUGUCUCCUGGGUUUUCUGUUAUUCCCGCUGUUACUGGGUUACUCGUGUGUUGUUGAACUGCUGUUGCUCUGUGUGUGCUGCUAUUACUUCCUAAUAAUCUUCAUCUUCUUUGUAUUCCAAUACCAGGUACACCACUUUGAAUCACUUUGAUGUACGCUUCGAAGAUGAAAUAAAAUGGCAGAAAUUUAUAUACUUAGUUAUAGUACAUUAAUAUUCAGUUAAACAUUAGUUAUAUAUAUUUUUCCGCUAUGCAUUAGUUAAUCUUUGAAUCUUGUUAGUAAUUAAGAUUCGCAAAUAUUAGGCAAAUAUAAUAGGCCAGUAAUUUCUUAGAAUGAACAGGCUUGAUGUUUAAUGUGUGAUUCAACGUAGCAAGGCUAAGAACAUUAAUCCAUAUGCGCGAAUUUGAGAAAUAUGACUUAAAUUUAUAUUUUAAUAAAUUUUUUUUAGCUUUAAUGAUUAUGGUUAAAUCUAGUUGCAAAUAAUCAAUUUCAAUAGUUUUUAUAUAACAAUGUGAGUUUUAAUCUAGCUAUAAUUAAUUGCUUUUAAAUAUUAGUUGUCGAAUAUUUUUAGUUUAUUUACAAUUUCGAUUUUUUUAAUAUUUGUAUUUAUUAUUUUAUAUAUUUUAUUUUUUUUCCACUAAUAUUUGCCUUAUUCUAUCCAUUAGUGUGUUAUGUUCUUUUUAUUUUUUAAGCAUGUAAUUAAUUAGGAUUUUUUUAUUUAGAGACGAACUUGAUAGAAAAAAAAUGUAAUCACUUUAGGAUUGUCCUUUUAAAAAUAAAUAAGGCGUGCCUCGCUAAAAUACUUGUAAAUCGCGGGGCCCUCAUACUUGUUUUAUAAAAAUUAUUUAGAAUGCGGGACAUGCCCUUUAGAGAAUUCCACGGCUUUCUCAAAAUAAUUAUGCGUUAGUAUCUUUAGGCGCGUAUUUAAUAAUGUUAUCCUCCCUAAACUCGGGUACACAUUUAUGUGACCCAAAUCCAAAUCCCAACGAAGUCGUAACAUAUUGAAAAUUGCGAAUAUAUUUAUGUGACGCGGUUCGAUGUAUAUUCUCACGACGUUGCAAUUCUUUUAAACAAUAAAUAAAUAAUGAUAAAAGAGGCUAAAAGUUAAAAUUUGCAUAAGUUCAUAAUUGUAAUAAAAUCAGAUUAAUAAGCCGAAUAUGACAGUUGAGCGACCGUGCUAGAACUACGGAACUUGGGAAUUCCUAACACCUUCUCCCGGGUUAAUAGAAUUCCUUAUCCAGACUUCUGAUUCGCGGACUGUUAAAUAGAGUCAUUCCUUUCCUCGAUUCGGGAUUAAAAUCGGUGACUUGGGACACCAUAAAUUUCCCAAGUGGCGACGCUGAAUCUUUAAUAAAUAAUCCCGUUUCGAUUGUCUUUUAAUUGAAAAAACUUCCUUGCGCCCUCGCGGACGCGUAAAAAGAAGGUGUGACAGCUAUGGCGACUCUGCUGGGAUAAAAUUAACCGAGAACAACUGGUUCAUGGUUAGAAAUUCGAGCUUAGAAUAAUUGUUGUAUUUGGCUUUCUCUAUUAUCUGAUGUUUAUUACAUUUUAUUUUGGAUUUAAUGUGCAAAUUGUUGCUUAUUACCGCUUUGAUAUUAUUUAAACUGUGUAUAUAAACUACUACGAAACCCUACUUCUUUCUAAGUCUUCUGAAAAUGGUUCAUACGUUCGCGUAGCCCGCCUUUUGAAAAAUUAUGCCAAAUAGAGAGAGUGUUGGGCAAGCGACAAGGUCGGGCAUACUUUAGUGCUUCUGUUACAUCGCCCCCUCCUCAGCCCCAGUUGUCCGCUCGGGUUCCCCAACUCAAGAUCAAAACCCAUGUUUUUCUUUUACCUAGUAAAACACAACUUCAUGCCAGAUCCCUAGUAGGAACGUUUAUUUGCAUCAUGUGCAUUUGACUUAGGAGGCUCAACACAGGGGUUGGGUCCGUCUAGGACAAGCAACCUGAAGUAAAAAGACCAUCAUAUUGCAUCCUAUUUGUUUUAUGCAUUUGUUUGCUUCAGACUGGUAUGCUGACCGGCUUUGAAUACUGGAAAAUUGUGAAAAAAAAAUCGAAAAAAUAGCAAUGUAGAGUGUUAGUUACAUAUUUUUAUAAAAUCAAUUUCCAAAUAGUGGCGGAACUCUACCAAAAUUCUGAGAAAAUGAAAAAAAAAAAGAAAAUUGUUUUUUAGUUAAGUUUAAUUUAUUUGAAAAAAAAACAAAAGAAAUGAGUCUUAUUUUUAAAUUUAGUUUGUUUUCUUGGGCGAACUACGCCGGUUUGAUUCUUAUAGUGUGUGAGAUACGUAGGCAACCCUUAUCGGGUCCAACCUCCCCUUUUGCUAAAAUAGCCACACACAAAAAAUGUCAAAAUUUUAAUUUUUCUCAUAAGGAAGUGAGGUGAUGUUGUUUACGUCAAAAAUAGCCGAAUGUUCCCGAAAGGGACGUCGGAAGGCUGACUUUGCAUAAACGGCCACCUUUGGUCAUUUUUUAGAUUUUCAGUCAAUUGACCCACAGAGCCUUAGAACCUUCGUCCCCGAGGCUUUGAAAGGCCGUGUUUGCAAAUAUCUGGUUUUCUAUUUUUGAAAAAACAAGAAAAGAGUCAUAAAUAAGUCGGUGAUGCUGUAAAUAGCCGAAUGUUCCCGAAAGGGACGCCGGAAGGCUGACUUUGCAUAAACACCCACUUUCAAUCAUUGUUUUGGGAUUUUGGUCGGUUAGCUAACGCAUCCUUAAAAUUUUUGUCUCCGAAGUGCUGAAAGGCCGUGUUUGCAAACCAUUCUUGCCGAGAUAGCCUUGGUGUAUCUUGCAGUUGUCGAAGGGCUAUUUUAAUAAAAGAACGAAGAAGUUUGUGAAAGGACGUAAAAUAAUCCUUCCCGGCCUCAAGGUCUGAUUCAUGCGGGGUCAUGAUACGUAGGCAAUAUCUAUAAGAUUCGACCACAACCAAAAAAAAUGAAAAAAAAGAGAAAAAAAGGAAGAAGAUGUUGUUAAUAAUAGGGACCGACUCAGUCCGUUCUGACAUGUUUUCUUUUGAAUUGUAAAUAAAGAAGGGUGGUUGGUU